rnacentral:lncRNA from 1 species
GAGGAGCAGGUGGCUUAGAACUGAGGCUGUGUCACAGGCACUGUUGUGACGAGGUCUAGGGGAAAAAAGAAGAGAAACAAAAGGCCUGGGAGUGAUGACCAUGUGGACAGAGACCUGUCUGUGCAGGGGAGAAAGCUCCUGAGGAAAUGACAUUUAAUCAGCCCUGAAAAACAAGGAGAGGACAGGGAACAAAGACGGGUGUGGUGUCAGUGGCUGUGUAAACUGCACAAAGGCCAGCAGUGGGGCGAGGAGGUGGCUGUUCUCAAGGCCAGCACCCGAGGGUCACAGCAGGACUCAAUUCUAAGGACAAGAGGAAGCCACUGACUCCUGUGCUCAUCAUAAUUUACAGUACAAGACCGCAUUCAGAACUUAAACCCACACCAAGCAGAGAAGACCAGCAGGUGAGGAGAGAAAUGGCAGCUGUUCCCUCUGAACAUUUCACUAUUGAAAGUAUUGACAGGACCCACAGCCAAGGUACACAAAGGGUGACCAUGCUUGAUCUUUUAAUGUAG